rnacentral:lncRNA from 1 species
AUUGAGUUACUGAUCAGCAGUGAGCAAUAGAAGCUGUUCAAACAGAAAAGAAGCCCAGCCGGGAGGUGGUGCCGCCACCACGCUCCUUUGAAGCGCUGCUGGCCCCACGGGCUGUGAGGGAGGCUUAGGGUUUACUCCCUCCGGUUCCCAGAAAAGCUGGUAGCAAGAAGAGGGUAUUAUUUCUAAUUGGAUGAUGAAAGUCAGCUCCGGGGACAGAGACCAAAGGGCCAAACGUAAAAAGGGGAGGAAGUGAAAACAUCUGAAUCAAAAGGUUGAGGUAAAACCAAGAGACAGGUGUUUGCAGUGAACCGCGCAAUAACCCUCGUCUUGCCUCCCUCCCCAGGUCCUCAGGAAGCAGCCAAGUGGGGAAGGACAGCAAGGAGUAAGAAAAAGCAAGGCUGAGGAUUCGGAAGCUGAUUUCCUUACAAAGAGUUCAUGGUACAGUGGAAAUUCUCUGUCUUAUCAGGAGGCAAGGCUGACCUUUCUUUGUGAGAUUCCCACAAGUUGUACCAGGGCCUUUCUUGUGAGUAGAAUUUGACUGAAGAUAUGCCAGAAUGGCAUUACUGGGCCAUGCGUGUCCUUUUGCCUCCACAGAUAAGACUUUUCAUUUGUCACCAUUUGAAGUCUGAAUUUUAAGCAGAUUUGUAGACUAGUGGCUCAUAUCCAUCCACUCGUUCGGCUGUAUCACCUGUCUUAUCCCAGGGGACUUUCCAGAAUUAUUGCCUUCACCAUGAAGUGACGUGAGUUCCCCAAUUCAAACCUGGGCUUCUUUAGCAUUUUUACUUUUCAAAAAACAUAUCAUAGAGAAGAUAAAUAGAUUGGCAAGGCUUUUUUAUGUCUUUCCCAAUGCUGACUGCAAUCGGUUUAUUGACAACGUAUUUAAAGUCAUUUGUACCUCUUCAGUCAUGAUUUCCAUCUUCUUCUGGAUUUGGUGGACCUGUAGGUUCUGAGUGCGAGAGGUCUUCCAAAUAUGAUCACACAACAAAUGAAGCAUAUAACUAUUUGUAGUCUUGAUAUCGACAUGAGCUUCAGUCAUGGCCUGACAUUUUCUCGACCAUGGAGCACAUUUUUCAUGGGUAAGAUCCAUGUCAUACAAAUUGGGUAGGCAGUUUUGCCUUGAAUAUCCUCAGUAAUUACUUCGGAUUUUCUAAUGCACAUUCAUCAUUCUGCAGAGCAGGCCUCACUUUAACAAAAUGACCUUUGAGGCAAUCAGAUGCAUUUUGGUUCCUUGGGUCCCUGAGACUAACAAUUUUCUGUGUUUCCUAUAUCAAACAUGGCUGGUGCUUUCACAUCAUUUCAAUCUUCCUUAGAAAAUGGUUCUUGGUUUCCUUUUGCCACCUUUUGUGGGAAGUUUUUUUUUUUAAAGGUAGGGAACAUAUGAAUGAUAUAACAGAGGGUAGUUUGGUGAGGAGAGCACUGUGCUAUGGGUUAAGUAAGGUGGGUCUUAAUUUCAACUCUGCCACUGUCUCUGGAGUACCAUUGGUCAUAUACUUUCUAUGGUAGAGACUGGCUACCUAUUCACCAAACCUCUUUCCUUCCCUCUCCAACACACAGCUAAACCCAGGUCCCAGCUUUCCUCAUAGUCAGAUGUGUCCAUAUGACAGGCUCCAGCCAAUGGAACAUGCACCAAGGUUUGUAAUUAGACCUGAAUUAUAAUCCUUGCAGCUGGCCCUCUGUGCUCUCUUUUCCCUUGUCUUCAGCUGGAUAUCGAUACCUAGGUUGACCUUGAAGUUCACAGAGCCUCUGUAAAGCUUGGGUCCCUUUGGCCCUCAGGGUAGCUGGAGAAUCUAAGGUAGCUGGAGUACCCAAGUAGGACACCUCAGCUGUAAGCGAUCUCCUCCAUUUACCUUAGCACACCGUACAAACUCCUUCUACAUGUUCCAUAAAGCUGAACAGUAAAGAGGUAUUUCCGUGGACUCUGAUGUUUCUCUUAGCCCUACCAUCUUUGAUUCAAAGCCAUCACCUCAUUUAUACCUUCAUCUUCUACCCCAGAAGGGAGGAUGCCCUUCCUGUCUCUUCAAGCUCUGGAGGAAGGAGUGAGACUUUUCUCUAUUACAUUCUCCCUAAAAGAUAGAGAUAAAGGAGGAAUAAAGAGAGAGAAAGCAGAAAGUCUAUUAGAGCCCUCCUAUCAGUUAAUGGGAGAGAACAAGGAGAAAGUAUAGAAGGCAGUAGGAUGACUGGAGAUUCAGGCCAGAGAAAGAGGGUGUGAUUUGCCCUUGCAUCUGCUCGUGGCAGAUCUUUGGGCUCUAAAUCCCGAAUGAGGGCCUGAGUCGUGACAACAAACUUCUAUUCCACCAGCACAUCUCUUGCCAUGGGUUUGUGCUUAAUUGAUCCAGCCUCAAAUUCUUUCAGAACUGAAGAUCUCAGCUAUUCCAAAAUGUAUUUCCAUAUGUCCUCUUCAGUAAAACCUUCUUUUCAGAGGAGGAUGUGAAAGCUAUCACUCCUUUUGGCAAUGUCAUUGCUAUUUGAAAAACCAAGAUGUAUAUACACACAUGUGCCCUGUGUGUACAUAACUUACAAUACAAUUUUCUGAUUCUGAAUAUUUGUGUGCACAGUGGAAUGUUCACUCCUCCUGGAUGUACAAGCUGCACCAUACGUCCCUAUAGCGGGAAUGUGUCUCAACUGUAGAAUAAAUGGGUUGCAUUUGGUCUGUGGCAUUAAACAGGCAAACUAAGUACUCACUACUGAGACAGGCAUAACUAGUCUACAAAGAUGUUUAUAAUCCCCCUUUUUUUUACAAGGUGUGUGAAGGAUAAUUCCAUGUUUUUAUGUCUUUUUUUUUUACCUUUGAAACAUUUAUAUAGUGUUUAUUAUAUAACAAACAAUGUAAUGAAUAUUGUUCUAAAUGUUACUCAGAUAUUAGUUUAUUUAAUUCCCUAUUAAAGUGGGAUAUUCAGGACUCCCACUUCCUGGUGGGAAUCUGGUGGGAAGUGGUAAGGACCCUGGGUCAGGAGAUCUUGUUUCCACGUCGGAGCAUGACCAAGUUUGGGGGGCAGAGCUGGAGUGAUGAAAUCGCACCUCCGCUCUGCUAUCACGGUCUUGCAGUAAGAAGCACAAGCUAGAUGACCUCCAGAGUCUAAUCCAAUUCUAGGACCAUUUUGAAUUCACUCCCUUCCUGGAUCCCAUGGCUCCCUGUGAUCUGGCACCUGACAAACUCUCCAGCCUCAUCUCAUAUCCCAACCUCACUCAGCUCCAGUCCCAUUUGGCCUCCCUUCUUUGUUCCAAAAACACUGAGCUCCUUCCCAGCUUAGGGCCUUUCCACUGGCAGUUCCUGCUGCUUGAAGCUCUUUCCUUGCAUCAUCUUGUUGCCUCUUUUUUUGUCAUUCAAGUUACUAAUUAACCUCUUCAGUGAGUCUGUCCCCAACAUCUCAGCCUAAACUGUUCCCACACCCAAUACUAACUUCCCAUCAAUCACUCUGAUUUACUAUCACCUGUCACCAUCUGAUAUUUUCUUGUUUAUUUAUUUGCCUCUUUGUGUGUAGUCUGUCUCCUCUCACUAGGAAUAAACCCCGUGACAGCGAGACGUUAUCUGUCUUAUUCGUCAUUGUAUCUCCAUUGCUUACAUAAAAGCACAGUAGCCACAGAGCCCAGCAAAUCUAGGGCUUCCAAUAGAGGCAGAAAUGGAGCCUGGGACCUAGAGCCAUAGGAUUCCCGAGUCACACGCGGGAGCAGAGGGGUCACUUAGUGCUCCACUUGCCCUUUCUCACUCAAUUCAGUGAUUUCAGAGCAAAUGUCAGGGUGACUAUGCAUCGACACACAUCCUUUUGCUCCUACUCACCUUCUACCUCUCAGAGACAAGCUGUGUAUUCUCAGGGACAUCCUGUGCAGUUGCCUCACAAGCAGUAAAUAGCGUAUCCGCCUAAGGAGACCAGUACCUCUCUGCUGAGAACAGCUGUGCAGCUCUAGUUCUGCAGAUUUGGGCUUCACAGUCUGAGGGACGAAGGCCAAGACUAGUGGCCAGUGGGACUCAGCCUGGAUGCUAAGCCCUACGUGAUGCUCUGCAAUGGCAAGAAAGGUCUCAACUGAAGCUGAUCCAAUACUGGCUGCUGCCCUAUGCAAGGGUAUGCCUUCUCUCCUAAUAGAAGAACAGGGUACCAAACCAAACAUAGUAAACAUUCUGUCUCAGAGAAAAUCCUCUGGGGUUUAAGGAAGCCAUCGAGUUUCUGGGAGGGACAGCUAUCGAAGGUGCUUCUUCCCACUCAAAAGGGAGAAGUGAUGCUUAACUCACAGCUGGAGGCAUGAUCCCCACCCAGGUGAAUCACCUGGGACUAAAGUAGAAUAAAGAGGAAUAACGCUGGUGAAGUCACAGGGCAAUGUCAGAGUGUCACCAUCUGGAUUUCAGGAGUAGGGGCAGGGCCCUGUGUGUAAAGAUUCAUCUCAACAUAUCUAUAACCCAGAGAUAAGAGUCCACGUGAUCGUUUUUAUGGUCAACUAACUUUGACAUUUCCUUCUCUCCGACCAGUUUCGGAACAUCCAGGUCUGUCAAGAGAUAUCCUUGUGCUCUCCCAGAUUCCUCCACUCUUCAGGAUCUCCUACAUCAAAUACCACAGGUAAUGACAACUCAGGACUACUAGUGAUUUUCUAUCCUAUAAUAAAAAGAUUAUAGGGUCAAAUAUUUCAGCAUUUCCCUGUCCCAGUAUUUGGUCGAGAAGUUCUUCCUUAAGCAUUGCUGACAUACCCCUUGCUGCAAUGUCAGCCCAUUUCUUCUUUUCAACCUACUGUGGAGAAGCAAAAUAAUGAGUAUCCAUAUUCUCCAUGAUUUUUGAAAACAAUGAAAUCAACCCUUAGCUUUCUCUCUCUCUCUCUCUCUCUCUCUCUCUCUCUCUACUAAAUUUCACAAGAGGCCAUGCCCCUACCACUAUAAUCUAUCUGGUAAUUCUUUCCUGGACUUUAAUUUUUUACAUUAUUUAAUUUAUUUUUUAAAUGCUUAUUUUUGAGAGAGAGAGAGAGAGAGAGAGAGAGAGAAUGAAUGAGCAGGGGAGGGGCAGAGAGACAGGGAGACACAGAAUCUGAAGCAGACUCUGGGCUCUGAGUUGCCAGUACAGAGCCCAGUGCAGGGCUCGAACCCACAAACUAUGAGCCAAAGUUGGACGUUUAACUGACGCCCCCCGGGCGCCCCUCUUUGAAUCAUUUUAAAAAUGGAGAAGUCAGAACUGCACAUACUGCUCUUGUAAGGUCUUUGGCAAGUCUUGAAGCAACAAAAGUUUUCUUUCCGAUUGGUGAUGUAGAGUUUCUGUCAUUUUCAAAGUAUACUGCUGAAUCAUAUUCAAUUUGCAUCUGGAUCUCAGGUUUCUUCUUGUCACAUAUACUCAUCCAAUCCUUUCCUGGACUGCAUUCACUUUUUGUUCCUAGGUGCACGAUGAGAUCCCAACUUUAUUCUCUUUUAGACAGUUGGCCUCCCAAAUUUCAAAAGUUUAUUUACAUUUAUUGUACCAGAAAAGUCAGCCAGCUGAGAAGAGAUGGCUGUACAUCACCUGACAAAAAUAUGGAAUGAUCCUGGUCCCAAGAAGAUACUGAUGUGGCAAACCUGGACUCCCUCUCGGGUUCAUACUGAGCCUUUGAUGACCAGGAUUUGUUUCACGGCUCCUGCUAUGACGUACCCACUGCAUGUUAGAUCCAUCUGGCCCUCAACUUUCAAAUAGUUGUUGGAAAUCCAUUCUCAGCAUUUUUUAUUUCCCUGACUUGUUUUCACAUAUACACAAACUACUCUAUUGUUUUGUGUGUCUGGAUACAAUUUUUUGCUUCUUUUUUUUAUACGUAUAUGCCCAGGUCUUUUCUAAACAUCAUUAACUGCACCAAACUUCUGCCCCUAGGUUUAGUGCCCUCACCCCAACUUUGUCCUCUUUCAGAUCAUUGGCUUCCCACAUUUACCAUGUUUACUUACAUUUUUCUUUCCCUUUCCUGAGAGGUUUUAACAUACUCAGCCAGUAAAGACCGCCUGGAGUAGUCAGUUUACAUUUGUACUUUCUGCAUAAUUAUCACAGUGUUUCCUUUAGCUCUCCAAAGUAUUUUGAUUUGAAUGGUAAAUUAUAUGGUCACCCUACAGAUAGAGCAGGCUGCCUCUCUGCUAUUCUUUCAGACUGACUCUGAACCACCUGAGGGCACCUUAAACUUGUUAUACAUUGUCCUCCCUCUGAGACUAGUUUUGGUGGUCUAGAAAAUGAGUAUCUGACCCUGGCAGGGAUGCUGUGGCAUUGCCUAGGACUUUAGGCUGACCUUUCUACCAUAAGGGCCCAUGAGGAUUAGAUGUUGAUUGCUCUGAUUCUAUGAAGCAUUGCAUCAUGAAGGUCGUGUAAUGAUUAAAAACUGUAACUUUGGAGGUGGAUCUGUUGAAGUUCAAAUCCUGCCUCUGUCACUUUUAUUUGUAUCACUUAAUUGGGACAUAUAAACCCACAUACAGGUUUUUUUUUUUUAUCAAGAGAGUUCCGAAAGAGCAUUCAUACAUGCACAGACCCAGCACUCACUACGUGGUAUUUGCAAUCCAGUGUUUGUUGACUUCUCAUGUCACAAGAUCUAAUGACAUGGAUAUAUCACAGGCGACUCAGCUCCAGGCCAGCUUGCUUACACCACUCUAGUUGACAAUAAACUUGGCCAAAUUUCUCCAGCACUAGAACUUCCACUCUACAGGACAAACCCAACAACCCUUCUUGUUUGAAUGCCCAGUAAAGGUUGAAUUAUGUCCUUCAUUUAUUCAUUCAGAAAGCACAUGUUCUUUCAGGCACACAGAGCUAAGAGCUGCAGGGAACCUAAAGAAAAUAAUGUCUAUGCCUAACCUCAAAUAGCUUCUUAUUGAGCUGGGGAUAAUAGAAGUAUACACACAAAAUCCAAAUGACCAUGUGAGACAUCGGACCCAGAAAUGUUACAAAGAAAUAUAAUGAUUAAAUGUUAAAUUAGCAGGACCUCACAUAAGAUCUAAGUUCAGAAAAGAGACAGAUAACCUAGAAAUAUGGACACCAAGGGAAUCAAGACCUAGAAUAAGAUAGAAGUAAUGGAUUGGGAAGAGAAAGAUAAAUGUUAGCUAUACACUAAGUUUCAGAAUCACACUAAUAUUUGGCAUAAGUUUCAGCCUUGUUUUCUAGAAGGCUAACUAGCUGAAUGUCUACCUCAAUGUCAUUUUUAGUAACCCAGACCAUGUAAAAUGAUCAGCAAUCCUGGGAUUGUGCUAUUUACAAUUUCAUCUAAUGAGCAUAACAACAGUAGGAAGAUAACAGAAACACGACAUUUUGGAUUAAUUUUUUUGAUAGAGUUACCAACUUUUUAUUUUGCUGAGUAAGCACUUGAGGAAGGACAACACUUACUGUCACUUCAUAAAAGGAUAUUGUGACACCAAAAAAAGUAAAUAAGACACAGUCGGACAAUUUUAAUAUCUUAACUUUCAAGUAUGGGUCUGUAUUCUAAAUCUCUUAUGUGUGAGCAUAUGAAUGAGCGCCAUUCAUAUGGGUGCUCAGAAAGGAAUUCUAGCACAGAAUAAUGUAACAGAAUAACCAGCAACCAACGGAAAGAUGGUGAGCCGCUGUGGUCAGUUCUCUUUAGCCACAGACCAAACCCCUUGAUGCGAAAGAGAUUUGAGAACUUCAUGGUACUUGUGCAAGGUAUACAAACAAGACGGCAUAGUAGCUAAUGCAUGUUUUGAAAAAAGCCACUUAACAAAGUCUUCACCCUUUACAGAUAGCAGUGCUGAUGCAGCAGGACUUAGUACCACCAAGGUCACCUGUGGGGAAGGCUGGUGAGCUGAAGCCUGCUGAAGAAGUAGCAAAUGGGAGGCACCUGUAGAAGGCAAUGAUUCCUUCAGGGUACCUUUUCCAAAGACUCCCCAUCAUUUCAUACCAGGGUGUGCCUAAAAUGAGAAUAGAAAUCCAGAAGGUGAUUCUGGAAAGGUCUUGUUACCUGGAGAUCAAAUUACCUUGUCCCACUGACACAUUUAUAUAUCCACAUUUUAAAUACAAUUUUUUUUUUUCUCAAAUGAUGAAAGGAAGCAGCAAGAAGGUGCAAAAUACACGAAAUAAACAAUUUAAAUGGGAAGGAAAAUCUUAAAUUAGCUUUUGAUAAAUAAUCAGAAAAUUAGUUCUUUAUAUAUUUUUUUCCAUUCAUAAUCACCUAUUGACUAUCUCUGCAGCACCAAAUCUGGAACCAUACGGCAUGCAUUCAAAUCCCAGCUGGGUCACUUGCUGGCUAUAUGACCUUGAGUUAGUUAUUUAAAUGUGCCUCAGUUUCCUCAUCUAUAAAAUGGGAAUAAUCAGAGUGCUCACUUUUUUUUUCUUUUUGAAUUUUAUUUAAAGAACAUCCACCAGAGAGAAACUUUCCAUUAAGUAGAAGAGAAAUCAAAUACUCUGUAAUAAAGACCAUCCAACUAAAAACAGAUUUGAUCCAUAAAAUGAUAAACAAUUUGUGUUUUAUUUCAAAGGGCAAACUCCAUUCAUUAUCUGUAGGACAAUAUAACCCACUUGUCUUGAGUGUUCAAUGAGUUAAUAUUUAUAAAGCAUUGGGAAUAGUACCUAGCAAGUAACACACAUGAUGUAGUGUUUGAGUUAAAAUGAGAUGUACCAAGCAUAACCACGGCUCACAAACAAAGGUACUCUUUUCAAGAUUAUUUCAAAUAAAUUACAUCAUCACCAUCAACCAAAUUUUCAAGUCCAGGAGUUAUAGAGAAGAACAUAAUUUAUAAUUCUAGUUAAUUAGUUUUAGAGAAAGGAAAGUUAAAUAAUUUGAUGGUGACACUGUUAUCAGCCAUAUCCCACACUGGGGGAUUAUCCAAACAGUAUCUUGCUUCUUCAUCAACCUUAGCUGAAAUAAGUGAAUGCUGAAUACACAUUGAUUGAACUAAAUUAGACUGAAUAGAAGAGGAAUCAGUUCAGAAGAUGGAGCCAUGUGGUACCAUGGAUGCUAAUGGAAGAAAAAGUAUAGAAUAAGGGCACAUGACAAGGUCAUUUACCUCAGGAAAGUUGAGAAGCAUACAGGCUAAGAAAGGGACAGUGGUUCAGUGGAUUAGGAGAUCCAUGUGGCCUUUGGUUUCAGUAGCAGUUUCGAGAAAGCCAGAUUACCAGAAGUUAAGGAGAGUGUUCUCUGGAGUAAACUGAAGGCAAAAGUAAGAAUAUAUGGAGGAUGACACCUGUAGAUGUUAAAAGGGUUAAAAAAAAAAUCCUUACUGUAUGGGAAACCCACAUGUUUAGAAAAAAGACACCAGAGAAGGAAGACUGAAAAUAUAUAGAAAGUAGAGUAUAACUGAUGAAGAAGAUUCCAGAGGAGGCUGAAGGGGGAUGAGAUGAAGAACACAGGCAGAGCAAUUGUUAGGUGGAAAAAGUGAAUAUGAGGAAGCUCAGAUCAAAUGUCCUUGAUUUUUCUGGUAAAGAAAUAGAGUAAGGGUAUAGCAGUCUCUCAGAGGACUUAAGGAAAAUAGAAAAGUUUAGAACUGCUACUAUGAGGAAGAUGAGAUGGCAUCAGCUGGACAUGAAUAAAAAGUGAUCCAUUUAGCCCUGGACACCCAAAUAAGAUGCCAUAACAGAGAUCUGUGGGGAAUCUAAGCACCACCUUCAGUAAUGACCCACUUUCCAGAACGGUGAGAAGGCAUGUGGAGAUCACAGGCUUGGGCGAACCAAGUCCAUAGAGGACCAAUUUUCAUCUGGAAAGAUCCUGCAUGGCUGACCCAGGCUGGAAAUAAUGAAGUGAAGACAGAGGUGGAAACAAGUACAGGUUCUGGAAUUGGAGGGUACAGUGAGGACAAGGAGUGGCUUUAAGAUGUGGGCCUAUGGGCAUGAGAUGGAAAGACAGUGCAUUAUUAUCAGAAGAGUGUUCGAGGAGUAUAGGAUCCUGGAGGUGGCAGAGAGCAAACGCCAAGAAUCAAGCCUUGAAAAACGUGCAAAAGGAAGCUAGAGACUGUUAGAGACUGAGGGCAGCACAGACAGUUGGGAUGUGCAGAGCGCACUUCUGGGAGACAAGAACUGGGAAGACAAAAGGCACAGAAGGUGGAAUUAGGAUCCUGGGGAUUGGAGUUUGGCACAAAUGGGUUCAAACCCAGGCUGAGUCACUUAGUUGUGUGAUCUUGGACAAGCUAUUCCAUAUUAACUAAGCUUUAUUUUCCUUAGAUGGAAAAUGAUCAUGGGAAUAAUACCUGCUUCACAGAGUUGUUCUGAGAAUCAAACACAAUUCCUAUAAAUACUUUUGCUCAGUACCUGGCUCACAAUACCCAUUCAAAAAUGUUGUUAUUGUGCAAAUUGCAUGGUUAACUUUACUAUAAUCUGCCUGCCAACUUUCUUUGUAAACUUCUCUUCUAUGUAGGCAUUCAUGAUAUGGUCAUGCUUUGAUGAUCCUCUUACUACCUCUCUGCUCUAUAUCAGUUCUUUUCCUCAGAAAAGACUUUGCGAGAUAGAACAACAAAUUCUGUUAUCUACUCGAGGUAGGGAAUAAUGUGUCCUGAUAAAACAAAUAUUCUGCUUUAUACAUGGGUAACCAUUUUUUGAAUAAUUAACAUAACAUAACACAUUUACUAAAACUGUGCUCCUCAUAAUGUAAACACUCUUUAAUGAUUAAAAAAAUCAACUUGGGGUUUUUACUGCCUUCAUUAUCUACACAUCGUCAUCAGCAUUUAUUAUCAUCUUCCUGUAGAUGAGCAGAACACCAGUUACAUUCCUUAUAACAGAGAGCAUCUGACCUCUGUGAAUGUAAGUAUAUAUAAUAAACAUUUAUAUGUACACUGUAUUAAAAAAGACCAAGUUCCAAGAAUACUAAAAAUAUGAUAGAAAGAUCGACUAUAUGCAUAUUCAGUGUCAAUAUUUUGGAUUAAGGAAAUGCCCGGAGUCACCAAAAACUUUUGGAGUUCAGCAUCAACCUUCUAGUUUGUUCCUUCAGAUCAAAGAAGUAUGAAUUCAGCUAUGCAUGGAGAAAACAAAGGACAGCCAAGAAAUUAAGCACAUCUAUUACACCCAUUGAGGCAUCAGAAUUUAACUUUUGGAAAUAGAGGCUGUUUUAGAUAAACUUCAUUUUAAAAAAUCCUUAUUUAAGGACCUCCACACACAGCACCAAAUUCUGUCCUCAGAUUCUUAAGGGAAACUGGGUCUGAAAUCAAUAUAGGCACUGUUAGAAAGGAUUUGAGGAUUGAAUCAGAGAAUAGGAUUUGGCCCCUAGGACACAAACCAUGCUACUAAUCCCGGAGAAAGGAUUUGCCUGUUUAAAGGAUUAUAAAUUUUUGAAAAGCAUAUUCUGUUGAUAAUACUUUUCAUUUCCUGCAAAUCAAAUUACUGAAGGAUAUUUUAUUGUGCAUAGAAUUGGACAAUAUUUUCAUUGUUGUUGUUUUAAUUUCUUUUGUAUUAAAGGGUACCAAAUUUCAAAAUAAUUAGAUAUGAAGUUUCAUAGGCCCAAAUGGCGACACAUCUGAAGACUCCAACAAAUAAGCUAGAAAUAAAGCCUACCAGCAAACUGGAAGACAAUCGCAUCUAAAAGAAAGUCUCCUCUUGAUUUCUGGUACUGGCGUUUAUGAGUAUGGAAAUAUCUGCAGUUUUACAAGACAAUAGCACAAAGGGAUAUGGACAAGCCCAGCAGACUUACGUGGUGGACUCUGUCUCAUCCUGGCCACUUCACACCCUGGACUCAUUUUACUCCAGUGAAACAAAUAGUAUUUUAAUAAGAGGAAAGCUCAUUGGU